rnacentral:lncRNA from 1 species
UUAGAUUUUUUUAUUAUUAUAUGUAAGUUCACUGUAGCUCUCUUCAGACACACCAGAAGAGGGCGUCAGAUCUCAUUACAUGGUUUUGAGCCACCAUGUGGUUGCUGGGAUUUGAACCUUCGGAAGAGCAGUCAGUGCUCUUAAUGGCUGAGCUCUCUCCAGCCCAUGGUGCUGUCUUUUAAUCUUAGCACUCAGGAGACAGAGACAGGAAGUUCAAGGAUACCCUAGUCUGCAAAUUGAGUUCCAGGACAGCCAGGGCCACACAGUGAAACUAUCUUGAAGAAACAAAAACAAAAAAAAGUUAACAUCAAAAUCAUGAUAAAUAGGAAGUAGAUUUUAUGUAGUCUUUUAAAUUUUUUCUUUUUUGGGGGGGAUGUUAUAUGUCUUAGAUCAGGAAAAAACAGAAUUUCAAAGAUUUCAAAGACCAAUUAGGUAAUUUUAAGAGAAUACAUGAGAAGUAAUGGGAGGUAGGCCUUGCACUAGAAUGGAAAUGACAGUAGAAAUUAAGGAGGAUAGGGAUGGGUGUGUAGCCCAACAGAGGGCAUGGUUAAUAUGCACCAAGAAUGAAGUAAUAAAUGAGAGCUAUUGGGUGCAUUAGAAAGUACAGCUAUAUAGAGAAAUUUUGUUGGUUGAUUGGUUGGUUUUUCAAGAUAGUGUUUCUCUGUGUAGCUCUGGCUUCCUGGAAUUCACUUUGUAGGCCUGAAUGACCUCAAACUCAGAGGUCUACCUGCUUUGCCCCCUGAGUGCUGGGAUUAAAGGUGUGUGCCAUCAUGCACAGUAACAUAUAGAACUUGAUAAACGACUAGAGAGUGGAAUGAAAGAAGUAGAAUGGAGGACAGUUCCCAGAUGUUUGGCUUGAGGAAACAACUGGUCAUUGAUGCUGAGUUGGAAAACCAAAAGGUGCACAGCUGAGUGUGGUUUCACCUUGUUUUCAGCCAUAUUAAAUUAGGCAGUCCAAAUACAAAUGUGAAGAAGAUGGUAACAUUUCUGGAGCAGGAUGUACAUGGUGGUGCAUAAAUCAUUAAAUCAGUAUUCCCAGAGGCAGAGGCAGACCUCUGUGAGUCCAAGACUAGCCUGUUUAACAUUUGAGAACAUUAAAAACAAAUAGAUAAAAAAGAUUUCUGGAGCAAAGUUAAGGGCUAGACAAAAAGACCUGGGAGUCCUAAGUAGAGAAACAAUAAAUUUGAAUGAAUGCCGUAUUUGGGGUUUGCAUCAAUAUCUGAGACUCAGGACAAGUUUGAAAGAAGAAAUAGAGUGAGAAUGGAAAAUAGUCCGGCAAACUAUACAUGGAAUAAGAACCCAGUCCUUGAGUGUACAGGGAAAGGGAAAAACAUACAUAAGAUUACUUCAUUUUUCAUAAUCAAAGGGUCUACCUUUAAAUUGAAAGGUAUGCUUACUCUGGAGGUGUAGCUUGGUGAUAGAGCACUUGCCCAUCCUGUAUGAGGCCCUGGGUUCAGUUCUCAGCAUAAUAAACCAAAAUAGAUUCCCACUAAGACAUAAUUAGAGCCAGGUGGUGAUUGUAAACACCUUUACUUGAAGCAUUCUAGAUGCAGAGGCACAUGGAACUCUGUCUACUAAGCAAGUUCCAGGACAGCCAAGAAUACACAGAAAAGCCUUGUUUUGAAAAAAGAGAAUCGCCGGGCAGUGGUGGUGUACACCUUUAAUCCCAGCACUCGGGAGGCAGAGGCAGGCAGAUUUCUGAGUUCGAGGCCAGCCUGGUCUACACAGUGAGUUCCAGGACAGCCAGGACUAUACAGAGAAACCCUGUCUCGAAAAACAAACAAAAAGGAGAAUCAAAGGUUAUGGUAUAUAGCUUAAUAGAAUGAUUGCCUAGUGUCCACAGAGUCUUGGGUUCCAACACCAGCACAAAAUAAACUGGUUGUAGACAUGGAGACUGGAGGAUCUGAAGUGUGAGUUCAUCCUCAGCCUCAUAGUAAUAUCAAGUCAACCUGGGUACAUGAGACUCUGUCCCUCCAGUUCCAGGGCUUCCUUCUAGAGCACUGUACUCAGCUGUGUUUGUGUUGAUGCGUGUGGGUGCAGUGGGUGAGAAUCUAUAAUCUCAGAAUUCAGGAAGCAUACACUGAAGUAUCUUUGGAAGCUGAAAGCCAACCUGGUCUACCUAGUGAGUUUUAGGACAGUCAGAGCUACAUAUGCAAUCUGUUUCUGUCAAAGAGAAACAAACAUGACUAGGGGCUGGAGAGAUAGCUCAGUGGUUAAGAGCACUACCUUCUCUUCCAGAGGACUGAGGUUAAAUUCUCAACAACCACAUAGAGGAAAGUUAAUCAGGAAAGCAUGUGAUCCAGAAAACAGUAGACCCAACCAAAAGGACAAAUGAAGGAAAUGUCAAAUAUGCUGCUGAGGGGACGGUCUCACAGGGUCACAUGGCACUUCAUGUGGAGACCCAGCAGUGCUCAAGUAGGACAGAUAACUGCUGGGGUGGCUUCCUGGGAAGAUGAGUUCAUGGCAAACUUGAGAGGAGAUUUAGACUGUUGGGGAAUUAGUUAAUUUGCGUUGAACAUAGAGAAAACAAAGCAGAGAACAGCUGACUGGUAGUAUGUACCUAUCAUCCUAUCUUGUUUUGGUUUUGGUGUUUUGAGGUAGAGAUCUGCCUUCCUAGUGCUGGGAGUAAAGGCAUUUCUACUGCCUAACUUCCUUACAUAAUUGAAAAAUAUUCCCAAGCCAGGUAUGACAGCACACACUUAUACUAUAAUCCUAAUGCUUAGAAGGCUAAAGCAAAAUAAUGGCAAAUUCAAGGCCAGCCCAAGCUACAACAAACAACAACACAGGUCAGGGAUGGUUGUGCAUGCCUGUUAAUCCAAAACUCAAGAGUAUUGUCAGGAUCAAGACCAAGCUGUGCUGGUGAGAUGGCUCAGUGGUUAAGAGCACUGACUGUUCUUCCAGAGGUCCCAAGUUCAAUUCCCAGAAACCACAUGGUGGUUCACAACCAUCUGUAAUGGGAUCUGGUGUGUCUGAAGACAGUGACAGUGUACUCAUAUACAUAAAGUAGAUAAAUCUUUUUAAAAGAAAAAAUACAAAGCCACCUUUGCCUGUGCAGCUGAUCCAAAGACAGGGCAGCCUGUGUUACAUGAAAUGAGAUCCUGUCCAGAAGAGCUUAAAAAAAAUAGAGAAAGAAAAGAAAAAUGUUGAGAGUAUAGCUUAAUGCAGUGCUUGCCUAGUGUUCAUGUAGCAGUAGGUUUGAUCCACAGUACUGAAUAUGUGUAGUACAUACCUAUAAGGCCUCCUGAAAUCACACCAUUCUAGAGGAGGAAACAUAUAAAAAACAUAGACAUUUUUAAAUCAAAAUACAAAUUGGACUGCUGCUCAUGGCCUUUCAUCCUAGCACUGAGGAGGCAGAGGCAGGCAGAUCUCUGUGAGUUCCAGGACAGCCUGGUUUAUAGGAAAUCUUUGGUUAUUAGUUAGUUUUGCUUUUGUUGUCUCUGGUUUUGAGUUAGGGAUAGAACCCAAAGCCUUGUUCAGUGUUUUGAAUGUGAAUGUUUACCACAGGUUCCAAUCUUUGGUGGAACUGUUUGUUAAGGAUUAGAUGUGGCCUUGUUGGAGAAGAUAUGUCACUAGGGGUGGUGAGGUGUUAAAAACCCAUGCUAUUCUAGUUAGUGUUUUCUCUCUGCCUGAUGUAAGCUCUCAGCUACUGCUCCAGUGCCAUGCCCCACAACAUAAUGGUGGUGGACUCAGCUGC